AACAUUUGAAUCAAUAUAUGUACAGUGCCGUGGACUCCUUUAAUAUGGCGGCCUAUGGGAAUCUGCAUUGUGGAACUAUACGUAAGUUGAUAAAUGUGAUGUCAUUAGUUAAAUAGUGGUCGGAAAAUUGAACUGAACUUAUGUGCGCAGAGCAGAGAUUAUUUCAAAUUUGUCUGUCAAAUUUUACAAAGAUCUAUCCUAAACACACUUCAUGAAAAAUAUUUCUGCUACACUGAAAUAACAUGUAAGUCUAUGGAAAUGACGUCAA